CCUACGGGAGGCAGCAGUGGGGAAUUUUGGACAAUGGGCGCAAGCCUGAUCCAGCAAUGCCGCGUGCAGGACGAAGGCCUUCGGGUUGUAAACUGCUUUUGUACGGAGCGAAACGGCUUUCACUAAUACUGGGGGCUAAUGACGGUACCGUAAGAAUAAGCACCGGCUAACUACGUGCCAGCAGCCGCGGUAAUACGUAGGGUGCAAGCGUUAAUCGGAAUUACUGGGCGUAAAGCGUGCGCAGGCGGUUAUGUAAGACAGAUGUGAAAUCCCCGGGCUUAACCUGGGAACUGCAUUUGUGACUGCAUGGCUGGAGUGCGGCAGAGGGGGAUGGAAUUCCGCGUGUAGCAGUGAAAUGCGUAGAUAUGCGGAGGAACACCGAUGGCGAAGGCAAUCCCCUGGGCCUGCACUGACGCUCAUGCACGAAAGCGUGGGGAGCAAACAGGAUUAGAUACCCUGGUAGUCCACGCCCUAAACGAUGUCAACUGGUUGUUGGGUCUUCACUGACUCAGUAACGAAGCUAACGCGUGAAGUUGACCGCCUGGGGAGUACGGCCGCAAGGUUGAAACUCAAAUGAAUUGACGG
rnacentral:rRNA from 1 species